GACGAACGCUGGCGGCGUGCUUAACACAUGCAAGUCGAACGGAAAGGCCCUGCUUUUGUGGGGUGCUCGAGUGGCGAACGGGUGAGUAACACGUGAGUAACCUGCCCUUGACUUUGGGAUAACUUCAGGAAACUGGGGCUAAUACCGGAUAGGAGCUCCUGCUGCAUGGUGGGGGUUGGAAAGUUUCGGCGGUUGGGGAUGGACUCGCGGCUUAUCAGCUUGUUGGUGGGGUAGUGGCUUACCAAGGCUUUGACGGGUAGCCGGCCUGAGAGGGUGACCGGCGGUGUGGGGAGGGGAAGACGCACAACCCGCCUGCGGGAGGCAGCAGGGGGGAAUGUGGCACGGGGGGGGGGCGGCUGAAGCAGCACGGGCGCGGGGGGGGUGACCGUCUUCGGUUUGUACGCUGGGUCCGCCGGGGACGAGGCUGGAGGGAGGGGAAGGGGAGAAGAAGCACCGACUAACUCGCCACCAGCAGCCGGGGAAAUGGACGAAAAGCACACGUCCGAAC
rnacentral:rRNA from 1 species